GACGAACGCUGGCGGCGUGCCUAAUACAUGCAAGUCGUGCGGACCUUUUAAAAGCUUGCUUUUAAAAGGUUAGCGGCGGACGGGUGAGUAACACGUGGGCAACCUGCCUGUAAGACUGGGAUAACGCCGGGAAACCGGGGCUAAUACCAGAUAGUUUUUUCCUCCGCAUGGAGGAAAAAGGAAAGGCGGCUUCGGCUGCCACUUACAGAUGGGCCCGCGGCGCAUUAGCUAGUUGGCGGGGUAAUGGCCCACCAAGGCAACGAUGCGUAGCCGACCUGAGAGGGUGAUCGGCCACAUUGGGACUGAGACACGGCCCAAACUCCUACGGGAGGCAGCAGUAGGGAAUCUUCCGCAAUGGACGAAAGUCUGACGGAGCAACGCCGCGUGAGUGAAGAAGGCCUUCGGGUCGUAAAACUCUGUUGCCGGGGAAGAACAAGUGCCGUUCGAACAGGGCGGCGCCUUGACGGUACCCGGCCAGAAAGCCACGGCUAACUAC
rnacentral:rRNA from 1 species